rnacentral:rRNA from 1 species
UACGGAGGGGGCUAGCGUUGUUCGGAAUUACUGGGCGUAAAGCGCGCGUAGGCGGCAUAGCAAGUUGGGGGUGAAAGCCCGGAGCUCAACUCUGGAACUGCCUUUGAAACUGGUGAUCUUGAGUACGGGAGAGGUGAGUGGAAUUCCCAGUGUAGAGGUGAAAUUCGUAGAUAUUGGGAAGAACACCGGUGGCGAAGGCGGCUCACUGGCCCGUAACUGACGCUCAGGCGCGAUAGCGUGGGGAUCAAACAGG